rnacentral:rRNA from 1 species
UACGUAGGGGGCGAGCGUUAAUCGGAAUUACUGGGCGUAAAGCGUGCGCAGGCGGUUCGUUAAGUUCGUUGUGAAAGCCCCGGGCUCAACCUGGGAACUGCAAUGGAAACUGGCGGGCUUGAGUGUGGCAGAGGGGGGUGGAAUUCCGCGUGUAGCAGUGAAAUGCGUAGAUAUGCGGAGGAACACCGAUGGCGAAGGCAAUCCCCUGGGCCUGCACUGACGCUCAUGCACGAAAGCGUGGGGAGCAAACAGG